GGAAUGAUUGAGCUAAAGGUAAAACAUUAAAGUUUAAGGUAAACAAAGGAAAAUAAGGUAACAAAGCAGAAACGGCAACUUAAUUAUAUAAACGUCGAAGGCUGAGUGUAUUUGGCAACCCCCCGAGGAGGCACAAGAUUUCCUCACCAUGAUGAAGCUGAUCCUGUCUCUCACUCUCAUCUGGACUCUCUCCAGCACAGCUGAAGCUCUUCAGUGUUGGGAUAAU